CAAAAUUGAAGCACUACAGAACCA
rnacentral:piRNA from 1 species